GACAGAAGAUGCAAGCGUUAUCCGGAAUGAUUGGGCGUAAAGCGUCUGUAGGUGGCUUUUCAAGUCCGCCGUCAAAUCCCAGGGCUCAACCCUGGACAGGCGGUGGAAACUACCAAGCUGGAGUACGGUAGGGGCAUGCGGAACUGAUGGUGGAGCGGUGAAAUGUGUUGAUAUCAUCAGGAACUCCGGUGGCGAAAGCGGCGUGCUGGACCGUUUCUGACGCUGAGGCACGAAAGCCAGGGGAGCAAACGGG
rnacentral:rRNA from 1 species